rnacentral:rRNA from 1 species
AACGUAGGACGCAAGCGUUAUCCGGAUUUACUGGGCGUAAAGGGCGGGCAGGCGGAAGGUCAAGUCGGACGUGAAAGCUCCUGGCUCAACCGGGAGAGGCCGUUCGAAACUGGCGAACUAGAGGGCGGUAGAGGGGCAUGGAAUUCCGGGUGGAGUGGUGAAAUGCGUAGAGAUCCGGAGGAACACCAGAAGCGAAAGCGAUGCCUUGGGCCGCACCUGACGCUGAGCCGCGAAAGCGUGGGUAGCGAACGGG